rnacentral:lncRNA from 9 species
GCAGACAGCUUCCAGAGACACAGCUCCCAGUGAGGCUGCCAGUCCCCAGAGAAAUGGAGACCGGCGAGCGGUCCGUCCUGGGAGUCAGAACAGCGAAGCAAGCGGGCUCUCCAAACCCGUGCCAGUCUUCAAGUGAUCUUUCACGUGAGCGAGUGAGUGUGUGGGGGUACAGCUGGCAUCUCUGAGGACCUGGAAGAAGGAGAAGGAGCAGAUCUUUGCUCUCGGGGCCCAGAGGUGGCUGGGUGUCACCCGCGUGCUUGGAGGUGCUGAUUCAGGGCAGUUCAGAUGCCCAGUGCCCUGGCUGGAAGGGGCCUGCCUCGGGGUCUGCCAGCACAGUUUUGAAGGGGUCGGAGGAGGUCAGUGCGCCUCUCGGACCUCACUCAGGAGGUCUGCACCGGUCCCACAAAAGGACUUCAGGCCUCUGCCACGCCUAUUCCUGGGUUCCUGGAAGGGCCUCUCUGGUACUGAGGGCAGAGUCGGCCAGGGUGUCCUUGACCCGGGCCUGUGUCCCUUUCAGGAGGGGCCUCCGAGGAGCAGCUGGGCCUCUCCCUCCGCCUCACCCGCUGUAAUGGGAUCCUACUGCUUCAGCCUUGGGGCCCGCGGGGCACCCUGCGCCUGACACCUGGGGCUUUGCAGCGGCUGAGGCAGUCUACAGGGAGCUAGGCUGCGGGUCCGCCUUUGGCGCUCCCGGGAAGGUCCUGAGCCCUGAAAUCAGGACUCAGCACUGGCUGCACAGCCUGACCUGCCAGGGCAACGAGCUGUCCAUCCAUGAGUGCGCCCUGGGGGCCUGGGGCCCACAGCCCUGGCAGCACGACUGGGUGCCGGCGGUGAUGUGCUCAGGCGAGGGCUGGUCCCCUCUGACCCUGCUGGGGCCCACGCUGCGCCUGGCACAUGAGGAGAACCCGCAAUCCCUGGGGUUGUGGGGGGCUGUGGGCAAAGAUGAGACCCCAGCGCUGGGGCAGAAGUGUGAGCAGUGGUCGUGGAAGCGCACACAGGGGCUGUGGCCUGUGGCCCGGGUCUCAGACCCUCCCCAGGAGGGUUUUCAAGCUGGGCUGAUCUGGGCCGAAGAGCAGCUGUGUGACCCGCGGGCUGAUGACACCAUGAAGGGCGAUGAAAUUGCUGCUCUGGGGGUGCUGCGUCUGGGGAAAGGGGUGCAAAAGAGCCCAGGCUGGGUGCAGGGGAGUCCUGCCCACCUGGGGCAGCAGGGCUUAGAGGCGCCCAAAGGUUCAGCAGGAAACCCAGAGAAAAAAGAGGAGUCACGGCGCCUCAUGGGCUUGUCAGCCGUUCGUGCCAAGCUUGGGAACUCUCUGGGGUGCACAGCCUGGGUCUUGGUCGGGUGGUGGUUGCGUGGAAACGCAUUUGUCUACACUCAUCCAGCUGCAGGCUCAGCAUGUGUGUGAACUGUUGCUCGCUGGGGGACUGAGGGUGGCCAGGGAGGCAGGCAGCCCGGGAAUCUCAGGGGCACCGCAGGUGACAAUGCGAGCAAGGGGCCUAACCUGGCUGUGGGGCCGGACACCGAGGGAGCGGAGACUCUCAGAAGAGCACGAUCACAAAGAGGAAACGGGUCGGGAGCUGGAGGAGGCCCCUGGUGAAAGAGGUGCCUUGGCUUGGAUGGUGGCCCUUUGACUGCGCCCAGGCUGAGGUGGGACCAAAGGCCUGGAAGAGGCGGGACUCGGUGGGAGGGUUGUUGUGUUGGGGAGGUCACUGUCCUUUCUCCUUCCGGAGGGAUGUUCGGUGUUGCGGUCCAUGUGCACGUUGGAAAAAACUUCCAUUCUCAGAGCGACGUGAGAAGAAAGAUAAGCUGAUUGAGCUGAGCAGCACUGCUAGCCAGUGGGACCACCUCUGGUCAUCAGGGAGAGCAGGGGGUCUGGACGUAGUGAUAAAACCGGUGAGGGGACGGAGCCCCUGUGCGGGGUCCCGGGGCCGAGCAUGUUCCAGCCAGACAUUGACAUACUGUGAGCAGCCAUCAGCCGACCCCACCUUCACUGUCCUCUGCAGGGAGCUGGGGUGUGGCUCAGCCCCGUACCAGAGACAGAGGUUCUAGAAAGGGGCAGCAGUGUGUUGUGUGUGAGGGCUCUGAGCCAGCUGUGCUGAACUGCAAGGCCAGCCGGGCGAUCUUUAAGCCUGUGUCCUGGCUGGUGAGGUCGUCUGCUCGGGUAAGAAGGUUGCUCUCCUGGCCCAGUCCCUUGGAAGCCUACUCCCUGAUCAUUCCAGAACCCUGUCGACUAAAAAAAUAUGCACACCCUGAAAGUUGAGAAUUAGAUUUUAUUUGGUGGACAAAACUGAGGACUUAAGCCCAGGAGGCAGCCUCUCAAGUGACCCCGAGAAAAGUGCUCUGAGUUGGCGAGGGAGGCGCCGGGAUCUGCAGGAGUUUUGCAACAAAGGGCAGGUGGGGGGAGCAAAGAGUGUUGCUAAUAACAGAAAACGAGGCAUCUCAAGGGCCUGGUGCUUUUCUGAGCCCGGGAGACGUAAGGUCUGGGCUCACAGCAAUCACUCCUGUGGUGCACACCUCAGCUCUCGGGGCCAGCAUCUUGUGGUUUCACAGCCUGAGCUCCCUCGGGGCUCACCCGGCUCACCCUGGGGAGAGGCUGCAGUCUUGUGGCUGCUAGAUGGCAGGUGGUCUUCAUUUCCUUCCCGUGUGCCCUCAGGGCUCCCUGCUCACCCUUGGGGGUGGCUGCAGUAGCUGAUGCCUGUGACAUCUUUUGUUUGCUGAUAGGACAGGCACCAUUUUUAUUUCUCAGCACUAUCGCUUUGGAUCUGGUGUCCUGGGACUAACGCCGGGUGGCCUGGAGAAGCUCAUAACUUCUUUGGUUCUAGGCCUGUGUGUCCCCUUGGGGGUCAGCUCAGUGACCUCUAGAUUGGUGCCAACAUUUCAAGAUGUUAGGAAUAUUUCCUGGGGUUUAAGGGAGGGAGAGAGUGAUUUCUCCAGAAACGCCACAUUCCUCUUGUUUUCAGCAUCUCAGCUUCAGAAGCAGGCUUUUUGAGAAUUUUUCCGACAGAGGAGCGCAUUCCUCCAAGGGCUCCUGCAAGUGGUCUCGUGCGUGUUACACUGGCAGACUUCAAGGCACCGCCAUCAAGGAGUCCAUGCGGAUGGAGUUUGUGGAACAGGGUUGGUUUUACAGUGUUCAAAGGAAAAGCUGGAUGGUUGCAGUUGUAGCUUGGGAGGUGGCCCUGGGAGGUGGAAGGAGGCUGACCUGUGCCCGACCUCAGAGCCACUGCCCGGGGCCUGCUUGUAAGUGAUUGAUACUCAGCCCUAAGGACCUCAAUAAAUAAAGGGGCAGGAGGGACCAGAAACAUCUUGGCUCACCUACUGGGUGUGGGAGUGUGGGGGUGCCGUGGGUGAGCCUGUCUCCAUGUGACUGGGUCUGUGCCUCUAGCUCCUCGCCGUGGGUGCUGAAGGAGCAGCAGGAGCAGCGGGCGCAGGACAGACAGUGGGCCCUUUUUUCCACCCUUCUCUGCGGGAGGUGCAAACAGUGGAUGGCUCAGUGGCCCUCAGGGCUGUUUCCUGGGGUCUCCACUGGGCUCCCCCUGGUGGGGGGGAGUCCCUCAGAAGCUUUAGGGGAUUUUUCAGGGCUUCCCUACAUGAGAGACAUGCAGCCAGCUUUGAGCAUCUCUAAGCUAACUUCAGCCAUAGUUGGGACUUACUGGAAACACGUGGGACAGUCUGAGCCUUCAGUCAACUGCCUGAGCCUACAGAAGAGCUUGGGCCUCUCUGAGUCUGGACUGGGGAGGAAGCUGGCAGCUCAGGCACCAUGUCCUGGGGGGCCCUGUGGUUUUCUCCUCUCUACCUUCCCACCUUGGGAUCAUGGAACCUGCUGCCAUGCAGUGCAUCUGGGCAGGCUGGUGUGGUGGGUGGGACAGGACCAUGGCCUUUCAAGGAGGGAUGGGCACCACCUGACCAGCUCUGUGAACACUCAUGGACCCACUGCUCUGGCGUGUGGGGUUCCCAGCACUUGCAGGAAGUUGUGGGAGGGUCGGGUGCAGGAAGAGACUGUGGUGCGUGGCGGGGGGUCCCUGACGGGAAGUAGAGUUACCCAUGAAGCUUCCGAGGGAGGGAAGAAGGAGGACUGUGUGCUCAGGCUGCCCUGUCUGUCUGCCCCCAGGACACACACAGGCCUGGCUGGCGGGGGGUGGGCACCCCUGCGCUGGGCGCCUGGAGGUGAGACAUGGCCUGACCUGGGCACCGUCUGUGACGCCGACCUGGACCUUGCCACGGCCCACACGGUGCGCCGGGAGCUGCAGUGCGGCGUGGCCGUGUCCAUGCUCCGGGAAGCCCAAAUCUUUGGACCCUCUGAAGGAGGAAGGGGUUUUAGUCCUACUGUCUGGGUUUAGGCUGAUGCUCGCACAGGCAAGUAGCAGACUGCACAUCGGUCACGCCAUCCCUCCCGAGACCUGACCUGGAUUCCAUCACUUCCCUGAACCCAGCUUCCCGACCUGUCCGACCCCCGUGGGCUCCCAGCUGCCCCUGCAGACGCAAAGGUGCAGAGCUGCUGCCCCUGGGCACGGCUGGACUCCAGCUCCCACUUUUGGUCACUUGGAAGCAGGGGCGGAGCUGUGGGGGUGGGGAAAGUCAGCAGGACGCUGGAGAAGAUAGACCCUGUGAGCCCUGGGUGCCCGGGGCCGGGGGUUCCCAGCUCCUGGGCUGCCAAGGGCCUGGGUCAUCGGGCCUAGAACUGGGGAUUCGAGGACACUGUCAGCUGCAAACUCCCGCUGUGGUCACAGGCAGCCCUGGCAGAGCAGACGGCCCCCCACCUGUACUGAGGCUGGUUUUCUCUAGGGAGAGGGUCUCUGGGGAGGGUCUCUCUCCAUGGGCCCCUUUGCAGGAUCCCAGGGACACAGGGAUGUCUCCUCUGAAGUUGUCUAGGAGCAGAUCCUCGAAGACCCAGGGGACUCGAGCGGUGCAAACCUGCAGCCUGGAGACUCUCUGCCCAGGGAGUGUGAGGGCUCUUACACCCCUGCCCUCACUCUGACACCAGGACAGGGCGGCAGAGCCACCACGGCCUUCCCGGAGCCCCUGCGGGAAUGUUUCCUGCCGGAGUCCAGCUCCAGCAGCCAGGGUGUCCCUGCGGGGAUGGACAGUGUCGGGGAUGCACACGGAGACCGCCUCUUUGUCCCUUCUCUCAGGGCGCUGGACUGCUCAAAUUUCAUUAGCAUAGGUAGCAGUUUAUAUGGAUAGCUUAAUUGUAACUUACAUUACAGUGCUUAGGUCAUAUUCUUAAAGGUUAAACUUUUAGAUUACAUGGUACAGUAGAUAUACAUUGUAUUCUAAGGAUUUUAAUGAAAACCAACGGAUACAAUACAUCAUGUAACACUACAAUGGGUACAAAACAUCAUGUGGAAAAAACGUUAUAUGAAAAUAAGGCGAUUCGGUAAAAAACGUUUUGUGGUUACUUUUAGCAAGCACCACCUGUUAUUGUUUUAAGCUAAUCUUUAACAACUAGAAAGGUCACAAGCAUAAGAAUUUGACAUUUACAAAAACUCAUGUUUUGGAUUAAAGCUUGGGGUGCUAACUUCAAAGCGUUAUGGUCAGGGGACAGUAUGAGAAAAUAUUUUUUUAUAUCAAAGCAACUUAGUUUCAUAAAACUUAAAAGCUUAUUACAAAAUUCAUUAAAAGCAAGAUUAUUAUGUUUUUCCAUGUAUGUCUAACCUAUUCGUAAGCUAUGGUACAUAGCACAAUUGCCUAACUCUACAACCCAUUCUUACUUGUAACAAACUAACGAAUACUUUGUUUUUCCCUACAUUGGAUCUGAAUAGGGGGAAUUCAACCAAAGUGAAGCUCUUAUUAUUUUAUUACUGUUCCAAUUUUUUGUUGUUCCAAUUUUAUUGAGUCACAAAACAAUAUAGGAGAAUAACAAAAAAUAACAAACAAAUAACAGGAAAGAUUGAAUAAUAAGUAAAUAACAAGAAAGACUGAUUUUUCCCAGAAGUGGUUUUAUUCUUGUACUGUUGUGCAAAGCCUUCAUCUUGUUAUUGUUGAUGUUGUUGUCGGGUUAGCAGGUGAGCCUCAUUAUUUUUAGAACUUGCCCUCGGAACUGUGCUGCCAGGUAAGCCCUUUCCCCUAUUUCUAAACCUGCCCUCGGAACUGUGCCAGCGGGUAGGCUUUGUUCCUCGGUGAGGAACCCUGCCUUUGGAACCGUGCUGUCAGGCUAGUUCCCUUCCUCGGCCUCCUGCAUGUCCUCGGCUCCCCGCAGUUUCUGAGGAGAGUGGCGUCGGUCCCCGAUGGAGCACAUAGGCGGAGCUUGUCAUUAACGGAUGGUGCGCGAGCGCCAGGCAGGGACACCAAUGAACUCCUGCCGGUUGUGUCUUUCUGACAAACCCAACAGCCUCCCUAGAGCGGGUAUCUAGGAUGAUCUCUCUCUCACGGAUGGUUGAGUCGCCCCUAGGACCUGGUGGCCUGCUCACAAAGUCUCCUUCCCAGCCUCAGGCACAGCUUGUCCUAAUUCGCUGUGGUUUCCUCUGAACACGGCAGUGAGUUUCCUCAGACAUCCCUCUGGGGUCUUCCCUGGUUUCUUGGAAGAAUCCUUCCUUCUCAGCAUUAGUGAUGCUUCUCCUGGCUUCAUCCCACACCCCGAGGCCUCUGAUGGCAGCUCUUAAGAGCCCCGGCUCCUCUGAUGGACCCAAACACUUGGCAUGAGGUUAAGUUAUGACAAACUGCCCUCCUUCCUGGUUUUUUUUGAAUUUUCAUCUUGUGGAGUGUACAAGUCGUAACUGCACAGCCCCUGGGUCUUGAUGAUGCGUAAAGCGCUAUCAGGCUGUAGAACAGCGUCCUCACCUCUGGAAGUUCCCAUCAUGCUUCUUCCCCUGACAGGACCACAGUUCUGAUUUUUUCUGCCAUAAAAUAGUCUUGCACAUUCUAGACCCAUUCACAUAGAACAGAAUCAUACAAUGCACACUCUUUUGUGUAAGGCUUCUUUCACUUGGCACAAUGUUUCUGAGGUCCACCCAUGCUGUUUUGCGUAUCUAAAGUCUGUUUCUUUAGAGUGCUGGGCAAUCUGCUGUUAUGUGACUCUACCACAAUUUGUUUUUUCCAUUUUCUUACCCCUGAAAAACUGGGCUAAUUUUAUAUUUUGGCUGAAUGAAUAAAGUGGCUCCAGAAUUCUUGU